GUUUGGGUGCUGCCUACUAGAUGC
rnacentral:siRNA from 1 species